rnacentral:rRNA from 1 species
AUACAGAGGGUGCGAGCGUUAAUCGGAAUUACUGGGCGUAAAGCGCGCGUAGGCGGCUUGGUCAGUCGGAUGUGAAAGCCCCGGGCUCAACCUGGGAAUGGCAUUCGAUACUGCCAGGCUAGAGUAUGGGAGAGGGAAGUGGAAUUUCCGGUGUAGCGGUGAAAUGCGUAGAUAUCGGAAAGAACACCAGUGGCGAAGGCGACUUCCUGGCCCAAUACUGACGCUGAGGUGCGAAAGCGUGGGGAGCGAACAGGAUUAGAUACCCCAGUAGUCC